CCAACACCCUAAGUACCUACUUUUUAAAAAAGAAGGAGUUUAAUUCUAUCUAGUAAAAUAGGAAACUCACGAAAUGGUAAGCUACAGAAAUAUCCAAUUGUAUGCUUUUUGUUGUUUUUUUCACUUUGGGAAGCUAUUUUGCUAAAAGUAUAUGUUCUGAGAAAUACAGAACUCUGUUCCAAUAAUUAAGUUCUUCUCUUCAGUGGGAAAUCAGGCCGUCUAUAUUCUAAACUAUCUUCCUGUUUUGAGACAGGAAUUCUGCACUUUAUUGUUGCCAUCUGCAUUGUUUUUUUAGGGUCCAAUACUGAGAGCACUAGAAGGAAAUCGGAAGCCUGUAGGAGACAGUGCAGCUAUCCCCCUUUGAGCUUCCUACCUGUCCGCCUGUCCUUCACAUGAGCAUCAUCUGUCCCAGCUUCUUCACUCCAGUCAGCAGCAACUAACGGCAAUUCAGUUUUUUUCAUUUCCUGUGCCGAAUACACAGACAUGGAGAACCAAUUGUGUAUAUGAAUUGGCUGAGAGUGUUGUGGAUGCCUGGUCAUCAUUUCUGAAAUCAACACAAUAGCCCAUCCAGAAGGGUAGGCUGCAACUUUUUUCAGGCACGCAAGCUGCUGUCCACAGGAUUUUGGUCAAGAAAAGAUGAUUAUGCCGAAAUGUAUCCAGGAACGACCCCUUUAGUUGGACUACCUUCCUGUAGUAGACUGUCAAGGCUUUGCUUCCAGAGGACUCUUGUUGGAUUACUCGUGCUGUUUCAUCUCCAGGACUUGUGAAGAGCAGAUAGAUACUGGAACAUAGAUUCCCUCCACCCAGGAUUGUCCACUAGUUAGUGGCUGACUGGUCCAUAACCAGGAAGCCCAACAUUCCAUGUGGAAGCAGGACAAAUUGCAGUAGUAAGAAACGAACACCCCCAAAUAACCUUACGCGUCAGAUUGAAGUUGGAACUUCACUGAAAAUUUCACCUUUGCUUGCUUUCUUCUCUGUUCAUGUUCUACUCCCCCAACUCCUGUCCAUUACU